rnacentral:tRNA from 1 species
GCUGUAGUAGCUCAGUUGGGUAGAGCGCGAAAAAACAGGUCUUGGCAAAGACCUUAACAGCAAUCCAUAUCACCUGAUAAGUGCGUGGUCGCGGGUUCGAGUCCCGCCUACAGCA